rnacentral:sRNA from 1 species
UCAAGAAGUCUUAGACGUUGCUGAUCGUCAAGACAGCGAUAAACGCCGUACACCUAACGGCAGGCCUCAAGAGACGAUUAACGUUAACCUGCGUGCGUAAACUUUGCGGCAAACAGAAGUAUUAAAAGUGUUUUACGGAGCAUGUGAGCAAUGAAAUUACCCAUUUAUUUGGACUAUUC